UUAGAUGUUACGUAUUGAUUGGAGUCCACCUGUGGUCAAUUCAACUGAUUGGACAUGAUUAGAGGAAACACACACCUGUCCAUUUACAACUCACCGUGCACAUCAGAGCAAAAAGCAGUGCUUCACAGCAGCACAGCGGCUUCAUAAUGCUUCAAUUGUUAAAGGAAGCUGGACAAACUGAGCAAUCAGGAGGAGGGCUGAGGUGAAAGACACAUGAGAGCUGCUCGGAGUUUGCAAAAAAGCACCUAAAAGACUUAAAAACAAGAUCAUCCGGUCUGAUAACUGCGCUGAAGAAGAUCUGCAGAGAAGAACAGCAGGAAAUCCCUAAAUUCAGAACUCUUGCAGAAAAUCUUGAACCAUGAAAGAUGGACGCUGACACCCGAGAGUCUUUAAACAAGGUCGACUCGACGAGCGUCUCCAAAGAAGAUGAAAAUCCCGAGGCCUGCGACAUUUACUAAAGUGAUGAGGGAGAACACGAUGGCCC